UCAAAGAGGCCAGUUUUAACCCGUAAUUCCGCUAAUUUUUUUUUGAGAACGAGGCCUAACGUCCAUUUCAGACAGAUAGAUCGCGCCGACCUCGUCAAUAUCCAGAUCUGAUCGAGACUCUGAUAGACUCAUUAACAGUUGGGAAUCUCGCCAAUCCCAGCCCGAGUUCAUCAGCUCCUUGGCGAUGGAUCAACAGCGACUCACGUCCCUCUCACUGGCGUUCGGGGAGGACAGCAGUGCGAUGGCGGGUACACGGCCACAGAUCGCGGCCGCCUACCGUAGGCCAAAUGAAUGCAACGACCAACCCCUAACUCCAGAGUCCCCGGCGUGUUUUUCAAUACAAGUGGAGGGAUGCGACCGCCGUUCUAAGGCUCGACGAGAGGGAGGGGCCCCCUAAGUCGGGGGUCUGCCGCACGAACGCGGCAGAGUUCGCAAGGUCCACGCCCGCGGCGGUCGGACGGAUCUGAUGAUGCCCGUGUGAUAAAGUUUUGGAAUCGUAUCGUGAUCUAAUCCCGUCAUUUGUUUGAUUUUUACAACGCUCUAAGAUGUGACAAUUCGAAUAAUCGAUUUGAUUUCAGAUCCUUGCCUAUGUCUAAGUGCCUGGCGUAGGCCAACAAAUAAACGAACAGCUAUCUACGGCAUCCAUGCCUUAAAAUCUCAAAAUUUUCUUAAAAGACAAACAAAAUCUUGAGCACGGCGCUGGCCCGUCGUCGCCCUUACAAGCGAUUUGCAUGCAAGGCGCCUGUGUCAAGAUCGUCCAUAUGGAGCCCUGCUCAUCUCCCUCUCACUCUCAUCC
rnacentral:lncRNA from 1 species